CGGGGUGCAGCAGGCGCGAAAACUUUACAAUGCGGGAAACCGUGAUAAGGGGACACCGAGUGCCAGCAUCAUAUGCUGGCUGUCCAGGUGUGUAAAAUACACCUGUUAGCAAGGGCCGGGCAAGACCGGUGCCAGCCGCCGCGGUAACACCGGCGGCCCGAGUGGUGAUCGUGAUUAUUGGGUCUAAAGGGUCCGUAGCCGGUUUGGUCAGUCCUCCGGGAAAUCUGACGGCUCAACCGUUAGGCUUUCGGGGGAUACUGCCAGGCUUGGAACCGGGAGAGGUAAGAGGUACUACAGGGGUAGGAGUGAAAUCUUGUAAUCCCUGUGAGACCACCUGUGGCGAAGGCGUCUUACCAGAACGGGUUCGACGGUGAGGGACGAAAGCUGGGGGCACGAACCGGAUUAGAUACCCGGGUAGUCCCAGCCGUAAACGAUGCUCGCUAGGUGUCAGGCAUGGCGCGACCGUGUCUGGUGCCGCAGGGAAGCCGUGAAGCGAGCCACCUGGGAAGUACGGCCACAAGGCUGAAACUUAAAGGAAUUGGCGGGGGAGCACAAGGGCGAAUCGCG
rnacentral:rRNA from 1 species